CCAGGAACAGCAGCACUGGUCUCGUGAGGACUGAACUUGAGAUGCCAGAGCACACGGAGAUGUUCUCUGAUCCGCCUUAUCGCUCUAAUUUGCAACAUGACACCCCCAGUGACGAUUCUCGUGAACUCAAGUUAUAAAUUAUGGCGGUGUGGCCAAUGGAUCCGAUACGAGACGGCCUCAUGCGUGGCCCCAAAAGAGUAAACAAGGCAUGCUGGGAGUUGAG